GAAGGGGCGGGAUUCUGCCAGCCGCGGCUGCCGCUGGAGCCGGUGUCCGGGCUGGUGAUGGGGUUAAUUCCCUUUCGUAAGACUCUUACUUGCACCCACCCAGCCCCGCCGUCGCCCCGCCGCGCCGCGCUCCAACCGCCUCCUCCUCCUCAGUAACGCGGGCCACGGAAAGGUAUGAUAUAUUUGAUCCAAGACAGUCUAUUCCAGUCCGGGAAUCUACAGUGGUGACAAGGACAUGGGACUCCUCCUGCCAGAUUACAGAUGGUUCACUACAGUUGACAUCCUGGCUGACAACUGUGAAAAAGAACCUUGGAUUAUUUUAUUUUAUUUUUGUGGGACACCACAAUCCCAAAUCCAAAGGACGCAUCAGGCUUCAAGCUCCCUGUAGAAUUCGAAAAUAACCUUUUCUAAUGAGGAUGUCUGAUACUGUUACUGUAAAAGAUGAAACUGCAACAAUGAAGGAUUUGGAGGCAGAAGUGAAAGAUACAACCAGAGUUGAAAAUCUUAUCAAAUCAGAAAACUAUGGGAAGAUUUUGGUAGAGAAGAAUGAACAUUGUAUUGAGAACAAUAUAGAUUUGCAGGUAAACAGGAAUUUUUCUCUGGCUACAAAUACUAAAUAUUCAGUAUAUAUUUAUGUUUAUUUUCAUACAAAACUCACUUCUCAAAAUUCUAAAAGGGUAAGUUGACCCUUCGUGACAUGCUUACUAGCUGGUUUUGGAGCCAGUUGGAUUAGCUUGCUGUGAGUCUUAACUUGGCUUGUAUCAUGUAAUAUAAUUCUUUUUAUUUGUAUGUGGCUAGUGCGUUUUUAUUGGCUUUCUACUUUCUCAUUCCACCCUUUUCCUAAUUACCAGUGCUGUGAGAGUUUUGAACUCUCACAGUUAAAUUUUGAGUUUAACCUAAGAGCUCUUAAAGGAAAGACAAAUAGAAUAGAAUAAAACUGCAGACGAACUAUUGGCAAAAACAGCCCUCAGGGGGUUCCUCAGUCACUCAACCUGACUGACAAAAAAGAUUUGUGGGCCCGGGGGAAGUUAAUGCUUUUAAUGCUGUGCAUAUAUAAUAACUUAGAACUAGCCACUGAGAAGGCUUCUAAUUCCACGCAUAAAUGGAAAUUGAGUUGAUUAACAAAUUGAAGAUAGGUAAAAAUGGUCCCAAGUAAUAGCGUUUCUAGUAGUUUUCAUUUCUUUGGUAAGGUUUUCCAGUUAUCUGUUUUCUCAGAAUGAAAGGCUAACACUUUUAAACAAUUUAUUUUAUUUUAUUUUUUUGAGAUGGAGUCUCGCUCUGUCGCCCAGGCUGGAGUGCAGUGGCGUGAUCUCGGCUCACUGCAGCCUCCCUCUCCCGGGUUCAAGCAAUUCUCCUGCCUCAGCCUCCCGAGUAGCUAGGACUACAGGCAUGCACCCCCACACCCGGCUAAUUUUUCUAUUUUAGUAGAGAUGGAGUUUCACUGUGUUGCAUAGGCUGUUCUAGAACUCCUGAGCUCCAGCGAUCCGCCCGCCUCGGCUUCCCAUAAUGCUAGGAUUACAGGCGCAAGCCAUCGCACCUGGCCCACAAUUUUUUUUUUUAAUGUCUCAUCAUUUAUCAGUCAGGAAACGAAGCAAGGCUUGGGCUGAGUGAAUUUUCUAUUCUACAAGGUAUCCAAAGAGGUCCUUUGUUGGCAUUUAACAGGCCGGUGGACUUGGUCUGGAGCAUCCCGGAUUGCUUCUCGCACCUGCCUGGCACCUAGGUAGGAAUGGCUGCAGUGCUGGGCUCAGGUGGAACUAGAAGCACCUAUUUAUGGCUCCUCCAACAAGGUGGGUCCAAAGUAGUCAGACUUCUUAUGUGGCAGCUCAGGGGUCCCAGAGAGAAUGUUCCAAGAAAGCCAAGCAAAGCUGCAAGGUUUCUUUUGACAUAGGCCCAGAAGUUCCAGAACGUUACUUCAGCUGUCUUCUUUUGAUGACAUAAGUCAAUAAAGCCAGGCCAGAGGAUGGGGAAUUAGACCCUACCUCUCAGUAGUAAAGAAUUUGUAGCCACCUUUAAGCUAUCAGAAAAAGUUAUUCAAAAAAAAAUUGUUUAGGCCGGGAGCGAUGGCUGUAAUCCCAGCACUUUGGGAGACCGAGGUGAGUGGAUCACAAGGUCAGGAGAUCGAGACCAUCCUGACCAACAUGGUGAAACCCUGUCUCUAGUAAAAAUACAAAAAAUUAGCCAGGCAUGGUGGCACGCACCUAUAGUCCCAGCUACCAGGGAUCCUGAGGCAGGGGAAUAGCUCGA
rnacentral:sRNA from 1 species